CAUUCCUCCUGAGCUUGUCAGGGCAGGUUGCUGAGCACCCCUCAAAGAGAACCAGCCCCUGACACAUGCUUUCACUCUCUACUGCCCAGCGCUAAUAUAGUUCCCAUCCUCUUGUUCCCCUACAGGGAAUCCUUCCAAAACACGGAGGAGAAAUAUGAAAAUAUGGGGAGUAAAUGGUAAUAUGGAGCACCCAAGCUGAACCCCAAGCUGAAGACACAGCAGCCCUUUCUCCCCUUCCACCACGUGAGGACACAGUGCUGGCCCCUGCACAAGAUUUGGCAACAAGGCACCAUGUGCCAGGGAGACUGUGCCCUCAGCAGACAUUGACCUGCUGUCACCUGGAUCUUAGACUGCCAGACCCCAGGACUGUCAGAAAUAAAUUUCUGGUUUUUGUAAA